AGAGUUUGAUCCUGGCUCAGGAUGAACGCUAGCUACAGGCUUAACACAUGCAAGUCGAGGGGAAACGACAUCGAAAGCUUGCUUUUGAUGGGCGUCGACCGGCGCACGGGUGAGUAACGCGUAUCCAACCUGCCCACCACUUGGGGGAUAACCUUCUGAAAGGGAGAUUAAUACAAGAUGUUAUCAUGAGUAAGCAUUUUCGCAUGAUUAAAGGUUUACCGGUGUAAGAUGGGGAUGCGUUCCAUUAGAUAGUAGGCGGGGUAACGGCCACCUAGUCUUCGAUGGAUAGGGGUUCUGAGAGGAAGGUCCCCCACAUUGGAACUGAGACACGGUCCAAACUCCUACGGGAGGCA
rnacentral:rRNA from 1 species